GACGAACGCUGGCGGCGUGCUUAACACAUGCAAGUCGAACGGAAAGGCCCUGCUUUUGUGGGGUGCUCGAGUGGCGAACGGGUGAGUAACACGUGAGUAACCUGCCCUUGACUUUGGGAUAACUUCAGGAAACUGGGGCUAAUACCGGAUAGGAGCUCCUGCUGCAUGUUGGGGGUUGGAAAGUUUCGGCGGUUGGGGAUGGACUCGCGGCUUAUCCGCUGGUUGGUGGGGUAGUGGCUUACCAGGGCUUUGACGGGUAGCCGGCCUGAGAGGGUGACCGGCGACAUUGGGACUGAGAUACGGCCCAGACUCCUACGGGAGGCAGCAGUGGGGAAUAUUGCACAAUGGGCGGAAGCCUGAUGCAGCAACGCCGCGUGCGGGAUGACGGCCUUCGGGUUGUAAACCGCUUUCGCCUGUGACGAAGCGUGAGUGACGGUAAUGGGUAAAGAAGCACCGGCUAACUACGUG
rnacentral:rRNA from 1 species